rnacentral:sRNA from 1 species
GACCGCCCUAUGUAUUUAGGGAAAUGGCCAUACGGACAGCCGGGUCGAAAGCCGA